rnacentral:tRNA from 1 species
UCCCGGGAGGUCCAGUGGCUAGGACUCCACAUUCCCAAUGCAGGGGGCCCAGGUUCGACCCCUGGUCAGGGAA